CAGUAGCCACGGUAAUACGUAGGGUGCAAGCGUUAAUCGGAAUUACUGGGCGUAAAGCGUGCGCAGGCGGUUUGUUAAGACAGAUGUGAAAUCCCCGGGCUCAACCUGGGAGCUGCAUUUGUGACUGGCAAGCUAGAGUCUGGCAGAGGGGGGUGGAAUUCCGCGUGUAGCAGUGAAAUGCGUAGAUAUGCGGAGGAACACCGAUGGCGAAGGCAGCCCCCUGGGCCAACACUGACGCUCAUGCACGAAAGCGUGGGGAGCAAACAGGAUUAGAUACCCGAGUAGUCCCUGUCUCUUAUAC
rnacentral:rRNA from 1 species